rnacentral:rRNA from 1 species
AGAGUUUGAUCAUGGCUCAGGAUGAACGCUAGCGGGAGGCUUAAUACAUGCAAGUCGAACGGUAACAUUGGAGCUUGCUCCAGAUGACGAGUGGCGCACGGGUGAGUAACGCGUACACGACCUACCUUUAAGAGGGGGAUAGCCUCGGGAAACUGAGAAUAAUACCCCAUGUGGUUAAUUUAACUAAAAAGAUUAAUUAAAGGCUUCGGCCGCUUAGAGAUGGGUGUGCGGACUAUUAGAUUGUUGGUGAGGUAACGGCUCACCAAGUCGCCGAUAGUUAGGGGGCGUGAGAGCGUGAUCCCCCACACGGGUACUGAGACACGGACCCGACUCCUAUGGGAGGCAGCAGUAAGGAAUAUUGGACAAUGGAGGAAACUCUGAUCCAGCCAUCCCGCGUGCAGGAUGAAGGCCCUCUGGGUCGUAAACUGCUUUUAUAUACCAAGAAUAGCAGUGAUGUAUGAUUGUUUCAGGGGAGUAUAUGAAUAAGCACCGGCUAACUCCGUGCCAGCAGCCGCGGUAAUACGGAGGGUGCAAGCGUUAUCCGGAAUUACUGGGUUUAAAGGGUGCGUAGGCGGUUUAAUAAGUCAGAAGUGAAAAGUCCGAGCUCAACUGGGGCCUUGCUUUUGAUACUGUUAGACUUGAAUCAGGCU